GAGGCUGCCCUUGAAGACCAUCCAGAAGCUGCAACUGGUCCAGCGGCAUAGGUAGUAAUGGGCAGGCAUCAGAACACCUAUGCAACACCACUAUUCUGCAAGCUGCCCUAGCUCCAGGUAGACUUCCAGGUGCAAGUCAAGGAUACCUACGUGUCCUACUUCACAGAGAACAGCGCUCUCUCUGAAAAGCUGUCCAGUCCGUGUCCCCUUUAAAGAAGAAUAUCCCUCAGGAAGAACAGCACUGGCUUUGGUGUUGUGCACUCACAAUGAAUGCCUGGAUUACAGGCAAAAUGCUUGAAUGGUGGUGACAUCAAAGAAGCCAGCUUCCGGGGACAUGUGACAUCUGAAAGCAUACGGAAGGAUUUCCAGCUAUGAGACUAAUCAAAGAGAAGCCAAUUAAGGAUCCUCUGGUGGAAAUAGCAGCUUUGAGAGAGGAGAGACUGGAAUGCAAACAGUCUGUCUCUGGAGAUGACAGGAUGGACAGGGCUGGUUUGGGAUCACACGUUUUUAAUGCUUACCUAGGAAGGUGCAUCAUUUCAGCUUCCGCUAUUUCUCCAGGGCCACAAGGAGGAGAUUGGAAAUGUCCACCAUUUUUAAAAAAUCACCUCACUAUAGAUGUGACCAGUGUUUCUGAAGCUUGGCAAGUUUAAGAUGUGUGGACUUCAACUCCCAGAAUUUCCCAGCCAGCAUGAAACACUGGAUGUGACAUUUUUAGCUGUACUUUUAAUGAAACAAGGCAACUCCUUAUUGUGGCUUGCAAAAGAAGAUUGUUUCCGUUGGCUGUGGUUAAA